rnacentral:lncRNA from 1 species
UAAAGUCCAAACUUCUUAGCAGAAACUAGAAUGUUUUUCAGGGAACUGAGUAUCCUGAGGGAAUGGCCAGAUGUAAGAGGACAACUGAAAUUUGGAGGAGAGGAAAAAAAGAGUGUGCUUGGUUGUUCGACUUCCAAAGAAACAAGGAUGGAACUGCUGUUGUCCUUCAUUCUUGCUGGAAGCCACCUGACCACUGCCAGGAAGAGGAAUGCAAAACAUUCCCAGGAGCGGCCCUGACGUCAGGGCCACAUUCCACCUCUCCACAGUCAGGGCUGUCGGGAAGCUCUGGCCUCCAGCAAAACCCCUAGAAGAGAUAGCAGCUGGGGCCUGCACUAAAUCAUACUAAGAACUCCUUCAUAUUGUACUUUAAAAAUGGACAGUAUCUUGUGAAUGCAGUGGGAAAGUGGUGGGUGAAGGGAUAGAGGGAAGACAAGAGAGAAAGCCAGAGAGGGAGAAAGAAUAGGAACAAAAAGAGCUGGCUUUCUAAGGGACAUUACUGUUAGUCUUCACAACUAU